GGGACAGUUAAUGGUUGGCACAGA
rnacentral:piRNA from 1 species